CCCGAGAUGAGUUCUCCCUGAGACUUAGAGUCUCCUGAAGGAACGUUGAAGACGACGACGUUGAUAGGCCGGGUGUGUAAGCGCAGCGAUGCGUUGAGCUAACCGGUACUAAUGAACCGUGAGGCUUAACCUU
rnacentral:rRNA from 3 species